GAUGAACGCUGGCGGCGUGCUUAACACAUGCAAGUCGAACGGGAAACCUUUUAUUGAGGCUUCGGCAGAUUUAGCUGGUUUCUAGUGGCGGACGGGGGAGUAACGCGUGGGUAACCUGCCUUAUACAGGGGGAUAACAGUCAGAAAUGGCUGCUAAUACCGCAUAAGCGCACAGAGCUGCAUGGCUCAGUGUGAAAAACUCCGGUGGGAUAAGAUGGACCCGCGUUGGAUUAGCUGGUUGGUGGGGUAACGGCCCACCAAGGCGACGAUCCAUACCCGGGCAGGGAGGGUGAGCCGCCACAUUGGGACUGAGACACGGCCCAGACUCCUACGGGAGGCAGCAGUGGGGAAUAGUGCACAAUGGGGGAAACCCUGAUGCAGCGACGCCGCGUGAAGGAAGAAGUAUCUCGGUAUGUAAACUUCUAUCAGCAGGGAAGAUAAUGACGGUACCUGACUAAGAAGCCCCGGCUAACUACGUG
rnacentral:rRNA from 1 species